GAAGAAGAAGCAGGAAGAAGGCUGGAAUCCAUUUUGGGCAGGCUGGCUGAAGGCUGGCUGCACUGCUGUGGGGUACAAACCCCUCUUGAAAUGACCAUGCCGUAAGACCUGGACUCCUUCCAUGCAGGUUGAAGGUGUAAAUAGGUGAGUAAACCAUAUUUCUUAAAGCUACAACAGUCUCUGCCAUGCCUCAGUUCUCCAAAGGAACACAGACCCUGGGUGAGUGCCUGGAACUCUUGCCACCUCUCGGCCAGGGUGGGGGGGAGGCACCCAGCUUUUGUAGCAAUAUAUUCCCAUCUAAACAGCCACCUCCCCUGUUAUACCAUUAAAUCCAGGGUCUAAAAUUGCCCAGCUGCACCACUGUUUAAUUCCAAUUGCUUAGAUUAGGAAAAGGGCUCAGUUUAUUUUCUCAAGGAGAGCGCAACCCAAAUGUUCACCUUCCCCCGUAAUCCCGAAAGUUAAUGAUACUAACAAUCAGAUUCAACAGCACUAGCAAGUUAACAAUAUGUCCUGAUGACCUUCAAUCACAGGUUUCAAGUGUAAAGAUUAAAUGACUCAGAUUUUAAUCCAAACCGUGUCUUACGAAACCAUGUUCAGCACUGAUAGGCAUCUUAGAAAUACCCUUUGCAGAGUUCUUGCAUCUUUCAGCUACAGAGGCUUGGCCUCUUUAUGGGAGAAGUUACUGCAGCUCAGUGGCAGGGUUAGGUUAAAAUUCAGGAACUCUCAGGUUUAUUCCUCCAGUAUCCAUUUUAAAAAUAAAAUAAAAUAAAUGAGUCAGGUAGCAAGGGACGGGGAAGACCUCUGUCCAAGGCUAUGGAGAGUGAAUCCCAGUCAGAGCAGGCAAUAUUGUGCGUUGGCAAUGGAGGUGAUGACAGGCAGUGACUUGAAGCUUGCUGAGAUUGAAUGCUGAAGGAAGUGGAGCUUGAAGUCAGCACCAAUCAGCUGAUGGAAUGCCAGGCAAUUGACAGGUGGGUGGGGUCCUAGGUAUAGAAAUAGUCCACCAUCAGCAGGGGAACCUGGGAUCCAGCCCACCAGCCAGAUCCACUAUCUCACACCAUGUGGCUUUAUUGGCCCCGCCUCCAUAAGCCACAGGCCACAGGCCACUCCACUAUGUCCAGGAACCGCCACUGCUGCACGGGGGUAGUUCUGCUCAUGAAAUAGAUCUUCCCUUUCCUCUCCUCACCCCCCAGCCGUCUGUGCACCCUGAAAAUCUGAAAGGUCCCCCAAUCCUCUGGAGCAGAUUUUGAGACAUGAGUGUACGUCAGUUCUGUUUGUGCAAUGGUAGGUACACCAUGCAAUCCACAGUUUAUCAAGUUUCUUCAGAGUAGGCCAAUAGCUCAAAAUAUUCACACAGAACCUAGGACUUCAUUGUCAUCUGCCGUCUUAACGCCUCUAAACCACUGUAUGCCACUGGAAUCUCAACUCGCUGUCAUAUCCAGAUGUGUUAAUUUGGCUUGCUUUCCUUUUUGAUUAGCAUUGUACGAAGUAAUCCAUUGAGCCAAGUCAGCAGUUGGCAGCUGGUCUAUUGGCUAAACAUGUGAAGUGAUAUAGUUAUGAGACACGGCAUAUACCUAACUUCCCUUGCAUAAGACGUAAUAAUUUGUUCCUCCGCCUAUAUGUGAUUAAGAAUAUUAAGUACUUAGUAGACAUACACUUGCUAUUGUAUUCUGGAUAAUAAAAUCUGCCUCUAGUGCAAAGCAGAAAAACCAGUCUACCCAGAAUCAGGUAGCUGAGUUUUCAACCAGCGCCUAAAAAACGUAAGGUGAUUUUGGAUGCCUUAGCCACUGAGCUGCAUAGAAAAAGAGGUAUUGCACUAGAGUAGCAUUGCUUUGCUCUCGACAGUUGCAACAAUUCUGCAUCCCCUUUGGACUUUCACUGGCUUUGGCUCAGCCAGCUGAGCCCAGUGGGACAAGUUACACUGUCUUAUCUUCAACUGUGCUGGGGCUGGGGGAUUUAACACCGUCUGUGUGGGGGCUCAGCUGGCUGAGCUGGAGAUCAGCUACAUCCUAAAAUACUCAUCCCAAUGGAUCUUGAGUGAAGAUCCAGUUUCAGGAGAGCUUGCCCUAUCUGUAAUUGCUUUCACUCUGUCUUUAGAUCAUCAGAAAUCAGAGUAUCAUCACCGUUCAUCUUUUUCAUCAUCUUGGUGGCAGGGCCGGAUUUAGUUUUGAUGAGGCCCUAAGCUACUGAAGGUAAUGGGGCCCUUUAUAUGUCUAGCUGUCUUUUGUCAACAACAAAUUGUCACUGGUUUUUGUGUUGAGUAUAUGCUAUAUGGUAGUUUAUGGAUCUAAUUGGUAUCUAAAGCCAUUUGCACAUAUCAAAAUAUGUAUUUUAUCAAAGUAAUUGUUGAACUGAAAUACAAUUAAGAAUAAGUGAUAUUUGAGGGAGCAGGCUAGCAGGUGGGGCCCAUUACUUACAGCAUAGGAGCCUACACAACACAAAACACAUGCUUUAUGUAGGUUUUAUUUUAUUUGUUUUAUACCUUAUAUUUUGGAAAUGUACACCCAGGGGUUUUUUUCCUUUAAUUUUUUUUGGGGCCCUCCCAAGAGAGUGAGGCCCUAAACUAUAGCUUGUACCUAAAUCCGGCACUCAAGGAAAAUGACAGUCUCUGUCCCCAAAGCACUUAUAAUCCAAUGCAGUGCAAGAGAAGGCAAAGGAAGGAAGGAAGGAAGGAAGGAAGGAAGGAAGGAAGGAAGGAAGGAAGGAAAUGCAAGAUGCUAUGUGCACUUGUAUUAGUGGAUGAGGCUGGAGGGUUAAGCCGAAGGCUUCUCAACAUGCCUCACUGUCACUGUAACUCUAUGUAAACAGCAGUCCCAUUUAUUCACACGCGUUGGGUGUUCCCCACUGGCCAUUUAGAUAAAACGAGCGUAUGUUUCCAAAAACACAAUCAUAAUUGUCAGUUCAAAUAGCUAGAUGACAAGCUUAAUGCAACAAUUAAGCAUGAAGACUUAGAAAGACUUUGCUGUAGCGUUUGAGCAAGUCAACAGCAUGCCUGCCGAUUGCACAAAAUAACUCAGCCCUAGAACUUGCCCACUGGGUAAAAGUGGCCUCUAGCCACAUGGUUCAAUGAUGGCAAAUACAGAAUGCUUCUAGACAGCUGACAACUCUCCCUCUCUCCCACUUGUUUUCACUAUUGUGAAUCAUGCCCAAUUACAUGAAAGCCAAAUUCAGUACUGAGUGCCAAAUUAGUCACUUGAUUAGAAAAUGUGAUGUUGUAGAAGAGUGUUUGCUCUGUCUGGAUCUACUGGGAACAACAAAUAGGAAAGCAGACUGUGAAAUGGUGCAAAAUUACUGAUUAUACUUGGGUAGCCCCAUCUUACAGGGAUACGGGUGGCGCUGUGGUCUAAACCACUGAGCCUCUUGGGCUUGCUGAUCAGAAGGUCAGCGGUUUGAAUCCCUGCGAUGGAGUGAGCUCCCGUUCCUCUGUCCCAGCUUCUGGCAACCUAGCAGUUCGAAAGCAUGCCAGUGAAAGUAGAUAAAUAGGUACUGCUGCGGCAGGAAGGUAAAUGGCAUUUCCAUUUGCUCUGGCUUCCAUCACGGUGUCCCGUUGCACCAGAAGCGGUUUAGUCAUGCUGGCCACAUGACUGGAAAGCUGUCUGUGGACAAACACCGGCUCCCUCAGCCUGAAAGCGAGAUGAGCGCCACAACCCCAUAGUCACCUUUGACUGGACUUAACUGUCCAGGGGUCCUUUACCUUACCUUUUUACCUUAGCCCCAUCUUCUUUAUGAAGUAUACCCAUAACUUCAGGAUGGCAGUGUGGCAGAGUGACUCCAGGCUACCAUAAAUAAAUCUGCUAUUCCCACUACUUUAUGAGUUAAUCUUAGGAAUAAUAAUAACAAUAAUAAUAAUAAUAAUUUAUUUAUACCCCACCCAUCUGGCUGGGUUUCCCCAGCCACUCAGGGCGGCUCCCAACAGAAUAUUAAAAACACGAUAGAACAACAAACAUUAAAAACUUACCAAAACAGGGCUGCCUUCAGAUGUCUUCUAAAAGUGAGAUAGUUGUUUAUUUCCUUGACAUCUGAUGGGAGGGCAUUCCACAGGGCAGGCACCACUACCAAGAAGGCCCUCUGCCUGGUUCCCUGUAACCUCACUUCUCGCAGUGAGGGAACCGCCAGAAGGUCCUUGGCACUAGAUCUCAGUGUCCGGGCUGAAUGAUGGGGGUGGAGAUGCUCCUUCAGGUAUACAGGACAGAGGUCAUUUAGGGCUUUAAAGGUCAGCACCAACACUUUGAAUUGUGCUCGGAAAUGUGCUGGUAGCCAAUGUAGGUCUUUCAAGACUGGUGUUAUGUGGUCUUGGCGGCCGCUCCCAGGCACCAGUCCAGCUGCUGCAUUCUGGAUUAGUUGUAGUUUCUGGGUCACCUUCAAAGGUAGCCCCACGUAGAGCGCAUUGCAGUUGUCCAAGCAGGAGAUAACUAGAGCAUGUACCACUCUGGAGAGACAGUCUGCGGGCAGGUAGGGUCUCAGCCUGCAUACCAGAUGGAGCUGGUAGAGAGCUGCCCUGGACACAGAAUUGACCUGCACCUCCAUGGACAGCUGUGAGUCCAAAAUGACUCCCAGACUGCACACCUGGUCUUUCAGGGGCACAGUUACCCCAUUCAGGACCAGGGAGUCCCCCACACCUGCCUGCCCCCUCUCCCCCCAAAACUACUUCUGUCUUGUCAGGAUUCAACCUCAGUCUGUUAGCCGCCAUCCAUCCUCCAGCAAUGAAGGCUAAGGGAGUUCAUUCCUGCCAACCCUUCAUGACUCAAGGAGGUAGGUGAAGAACAGCCCACAAACAUCACAGCAAACCACGGCAAUGCAGCUGGCUCCAGACAGCAUUAGCCCCUGCCUUACCUCCUGACUCAGCUUGUGGUAUCAAAAGAGGGAUUCAGGGCCAAACUAGAAGGGGUAGUGUCAGGGGUUCAGGGAGAGAGGCACAGGGUAGGCAGGAGAUGGAGAGCGAUGGGGAUGAAUUCCAAGCCAGCGAGGAAGAGGAUGACAAUGACUCAAGAGAUUCCAUGAGUCUUUCCAGCGAAUCAGAGGAUUCCCAGAAGGGGGCGCCGGUGGUCAAGGCCAGGCGAGCCCCAGGGGGGACGUGUCAGGAGCAGGGGGCCAGCGGAGGAUCCCAAAGUGGCAGCUGGGGGUCACGACCAGCCUCCCCACCAGAGUGCAGCGAAGGGGGUGGAGUUUCCAGUGUGUCAGGGAAGCAGCUCCGGCAGCAGAGAAAGGAGGGAGGUCAGAGCAAGCCGCCCUCCCGGAAGGGAGGGAGCAGUGAAGGGAGUAGUGUAACUGUCAAAAGGAAAGUUAGAGGUUUGGCGCGCGUGCCAAGUUUCAAAUGUAGAGGCGCGCGAAGUACAGGGAGCCCGGAGGAGGGGCCAGGUCCCAAAGCCCGCAGGAGGGGGAAGAGCAGUCUGAUUCCGCGUCAGAGGAAUCCAGGAGGGGCGAAACUCCAGCGGGCAGAAGGACCCUGCGGAAAGGGAAGGAGAGAAAGAGGUGGAGCAGCGCAAGCCGCUUAAACUUGUGCACGGCAGGGAAGGAUUCAGAGGGGACUUCAGCGGUCUAAGCGUAGCAGACGUAAGGCUGCGCGCCUAGGAUGUCAAGCAAACAAUGAACUGCAAUAAACACCUUUGUAUAUAAGAAGGCAUAGGCGUUGGUCUUUUGUGAGCUGAGACUUGAGGCAGCCUUGACAGGUAGGAACUUAGAUUAGGUCAGUGGUGUGUUAAUCCCGCACCCACUCAGCAAACAGGAAGCGUUUCACAGCCACUGAGAAUCCUCAGUUCUAAUUGGCCAAUUUAGCACUCCCCAUCUUAACAGCUUUCUCCCUAAAUAUUUUUUAGACUUCUGCAAACCUUGGAGUUUCCCCCAAGCCUGGCGAUACCACCCUCUUGUGUAUGGAUGGUGACUUUUGGUUACCCAAACAACAGCCACACACGAUACGAUACAAUAAUCUUUGUUGUCAUUGUCUCAUACAGAACAAUGAAACUGAAAAAAUCUACAUCAGACAUUCAAAAACCAACAAGCCUGCUAUUGCAGCUAUCCCAGCCUGGUUAGGCCCCUAAAAACUCUGAUACCCCAUAAUUAAAUACAAUAUACUCCCAUAGAGACUACCUUACACUGCGUUUAAAACGAAAAUAGCAUUUGGAUAGAAACUGUUUCUCAGUCCUAGUCUUUAUAACCCUGUACCUUCUUCCAGAAGGCAGAAGCUGAAAGAGAUCAUUUCUGGGGUGCGCACUGUCCUGCACUAUCUCUGCAGCUUUCUUAUGACACAGCGCGGACAUCGGGAAAAGGGAAAAUGAUACCCACUAAAAAACAAUGUAGCAAAUACUAUGGCCCAUUUAGAUGGAUGCCUUCAUGUGCAAACAAUUCAUAUGGUGUCACUCAGGCAUUUGUGGAAAAACAAAUGCGUUUUCCAGAGCCCUUGUGCACAAGUUGUUCCACUGCCAAAAGAAUGAGAAAGAGCUGGUUUCCCCACCUCUUCCCCACCUUCUUUGCACAUUGCAAUGAUCUUCAACCAUCCUGCCCAUCAAGGUGAACCCAAAUUUUACAUAGUUAUUAUCCUUGUUCCAGCGGCUGCUGGCUAGUGUCCAAGUUGCCCCUGCAAUCACUCAUUCUGUAAAACUAUGCCAGAAAUACAGAGAAGAAGCCAUAAAACUCCAGGUUCUUUGACUCCUCGCUGUCCAUUGUCUGCAGAACAGGCUUGGGGUGAGGCAGGGGGAACCUUGCAUUCUUUUACCCUUAAAAAAAAAAGAUUGCGUACUGGGAGCUGUCUACAGAUCAUCUUUGAAAAUUAUUGGCAGUUUUUGUACCGCCAUUCUCAAAUGGCUGGGGAGAAAAACAAAAUAAACCUUUGACCUUUUCUGACAAACCUGCCUUUGGAGGAGGCAGUUGUUUAUUUAGAGAAGCUUACCAGAUAAUGGAAAGCAAGGAGAGAGAGAGAGAGAGAGAGAGAGAGAGAGAGAGAGAGAGAGAGAGAGAGAGAGGAGCACUGGCAAAUUGACUAGGUUGCUUUGAGCAGGCUAACCAAAAAUAGAAAAAUUGGAGGGUUGUUUAAAAAGAAAGAAAAAAGUGUGUGCUAUUCUACAACACAGCACCCAUUUAUUUCCCAUUGACCCUUCUUUUGCUAUGGUACAUUUUCUGAAGACGAGGUUAGGUAAAGGGAGGGGGGGGGGAGAGAUUCUGUUUGCGCAAGGUUUAUGUAAACUUCCUGUAGAAGCGAAGAGGCUCCCGUAUUGGAGGUUAUAAGAAAACACCUGCCCAUCAAUACGACAUCACCUGGACAAAGGCUUCCUUGCACCUUUCACAGUAAGAAAGGCCUACCCAUUACUUCUGAUUAUCAGCCACACCUGAAUGAACCAACACAGCUCUGGUCAACAAAAGGUGACUCCGCCACUCCGCCACCCCAAAGCAAGAACCACCACAUGGGUCACAUUCCUAUCUGCUCUGACUUCCUGAAGUAGCUUCAAUAGAACAUCCAACAUGUUUUAUUGGUGGGAAGAGGUUUCCCCUCCACCACCUUUUCAGUCCAACAAUCAUUUUGCAAGACAGGAUGUUCUUUGCCAUUCAGUUAACCUUUUCGGAAUAAAGAGCAACAGCUCAGGGCAAUCUUUGCCCUCCCAAGCAGCCAACACAGGUGGCGUGGCCCAAUUCAAACAACCAUAAUAAAAUAUAAAGUGAUGAACCAAUAAAAAAAGUAUUGAACCAAAAGACACAGCGGGAUGGGGUGGGGGCUGACUGUUUUUUUGUCCUGAGGGCUGUAUUUAGGGUUGCCAAGCCUCUGAGGGCUGCAUGUCCAUAGCUGUCAACUUUUCCCGUUUCUUGCAAGGAAUCCUAUUCGGAAUAAGGGAAUUUCCCCUUAAAAAAAAGGGAAACGUUGACAGCUAUGUGCAUGUCUGCAGUGGUUGUGGCCAAACUCAGACCCUCCAAGUGUCCUUAUUUUCCAGGGACAGUCCCAGAUUUACAAAAGCUCUCCCGGUUUCUGAUUUGAUCCCAGAAUGUCCCACCUUUCCUUAGGGUGUCUCUAUUUUCAUUAGAGAAAUGUUGGAGGGUGUGGAGUUAUAUAUUUAUUCAGUGAACCGCCCUGAGACCCCCGAGUAUAGGGCGGUAUAUAAAUAGUAAAAAUAAGAAGACGACGGGGAUGUGGAGUGGAAAGUAAAAUUGAGAACAACUAGCAACUAAGACUCUAGAAGGAAGGGACACACACAAAACUCAGACUACUUCAUUUGUGUUUAAAGAGGAAGUCAUGCCAGCAUAUUUGCAUUGAUAGGGGUUCCCACCCAUUAGAUUACUCUCAUUCUAAAAGAAUUCCAGAAUAUUUAUUCAGCAGCAAGCAAAAUGCACCAAUUUCAAGAUAACACGUGGCAAGAUAAUGGCAGGUCACGGAAUCAAGUGGGAGAGAAUGAGUUUUUAUACAUGCGUCUGUGCAUGGGAAAUUCUAGUUAAAUAAUCCAGGGUGGAGAUGGGGGAGGAGGGGGCGAGCUGAUAAGGAAGCUGGAGAAGUCACAUGGCAGUUUCACUGAGAAAGAAAAUAAGGGGAAAUUGGGUAAAGUGGCCACUCACACCUUGCCAAAAGAGAAUAAUAAAAAGAAGUCAAAGGAAAACAUGGAUUUGCACGUACUAUUCUAUAUACAGUGGUACCUCUAGUUAGGAACUUAAUUCAUUCCAGAGGUCCGUUCUUAACCUGAAACUGUUCUUAACUAGAGGUGUGCUUUCGCUAAUGGGGCCUCUUGCUGCCGCUGCGCCGCCAGCACACGAUUUCCAUUUUCAUCCUGGGGCAAAGUUCUCAACUUGAGGGAACUCUCCCAGGUUAGCGGAGUUUGUAACCUGAAGUGUUUGUAAGCUGAGGUGUUUGUGACUCGAAGUACCACUGUAUAAGAAAUGGUGCAGAUUCCUAUCUUACUUCUUUGUCCCUUCGGAGCUCCGUUGUGUCUCUUAAGUGGAAAGCCACUUCGCGAAACUCUCCUCGCACCCUUUCAAAGUAAGGUGUUUUUUUUCAAGUUCUUUGCGACUGCACAUACAUGCCUUGUGUGAAUAUUUUUCUGAGUCAUAAUACCAACUGCGUUGGGACAUUCAGUGCAUAUUAUACCUUCAUUAUAUGCAGAGUUGUGUUUGUUUUGAUUAGAUUCUAUUCUCUGUAUUCCUUCAUUGUUGGGUGCUAAAUGCUGAAGGGCAACUUUAAGGUCACUGCUCUCUCUUGUUCUUUAUCUUCAAUGAACUAGGCAGGUCUUCAACUGGGGGACUCCAGAGAGAGGACUGUCUUUUGAAAAGUAGGAUACAUGACCACCCUAAAAUUGGGGCAUGCAUGAUAGUAUUUUCCCAAUCCGAUUACAUAGACCAGAGGUUUUCAACCUUUUUGAGCCCACAGCCUCCUUGACCAAUUGUUUUCUUUCUGCGGCUCUCCUGUGGGGCUCAGGAGCCCAGUUAUGUCACCCCUUGCUUGCAUAGCUGGCAGCCUAUCACCCUUUUGCGAACACCUUCCCUCGUGGAGUAUUUUUUCAGCCUCCUCUCCUUGAGAGAGCCAACAUGGUGUAGUGGUUAAGAGCAGUGGACUCGUAAUCUGGUAAACUGAGUUCGCUUCCCCGCUCCUCCACAUGCAGCUGCUGGUUGACCUUGGGCUAGUCACACUUCUCUGAAGUCUCUCAGCCCCACUCACCUCACAGAGUGUUUGUUGUGGGGGAGGAAGGGAAAGGAGAAUGUGAGCCGCUUUGAGACUCCUUUGGGUAGUGAUAAAGCGGGAUAUCAAAUCCAAACUCUUCUUCUUCUUGGGAAUCCUCCGCUGCUGCUGCCCUUGGUCUCUGAACUACCCACCCCCUGCCCCAAAGAGAGGUGCCUCCUCACACUGCCCCACAGGGGCCUGGGACUUGUCUGUCUACUUCCAACAGCAAGGGUUGGCGGACUGGCUGGCUGGGCUCCCUGGCCCCCUUGCUUGCUUACUCCGAGGCCGCCUCAGCUCCUGGCAACCAGCACCCCCUGGCCAGCCCCAGAGGCACCAAUUCACCAGGGGAGCUUGUAGCCAGGGCUGCUACAACAACAGCCAUGCAAGCCUUGGGGAGGCAGAAAUGUGAGAAGGCAUCAGAGGAGGGAGGGAAGGAAAGAAGGACAGAGGUCAGUAUUGCCCAUAGCACCCCUGACAUCAUUCAAGGCACCCCAGGAUGCCACGACACACAGGUUGAAAACCACUGCCCUAAUCCUUUGAAAACUGAAAAAUAGAUUUUGGUGUUUUCCCUGCAGUGUGUUGUAUAGCUAAUUAAUUUAGGGGUUAUGGGUGGGCUAUUGUUAUGAGUUUGAGGAUGCCAAACCCCUCUAAUUAAUCCCUGGAUCCAGCAAGUGUUAGAAUUUAAUCAAGGCUUGGGGUGUUAAAUUGGGUGUCAGACCCCCUUUAGUCCCUGCAUCCUACAAGUGUUGAAAUCAAAUCAAGCCAAGGUAGCUUUUAUGGGUCAAAGUUGAGGAUUUUUUUCUUCCUGCUUCCAUCCGAAUUACUUAUUAUCCCGGCUCAUGUGUAAUGGCGGCAACAAGAAAUGUUAAGGUCUGCAUCGUAUAUACAUCUGCAGCAUAAAGGUUCAUGAAAACAGUUUGAACGCUUUCCCACCUCCCUCUUUAAGGUCCACAUUAUUACUAGAUAAAUAUACAUUAUUCAUUCCAGGACAUUCUUUUUUCCACUCUACUCUACCUAUUCACCAGGUUAAUGCAUUAACUUAACUGCUGCUUAUUGACGAUCCCCACCCCCAAGGUAAAGUAAUGGGGCCUGUAUGACCAUAUCCUUGACUCUAAUUGAAAGCCUCAGUUAAAAAAGAAAGAAAGUAAAAGGCACUUAGAUAUGUUGCAGUCCUAGUUUCAUAGCAGUAAAAUAAAUAAACCAACAAUUUCAUCUCAAAAAGCGGAAUAUCAUUGAAAAACAUUGGAUGCAGCACAAACCUUUUCUGCAAAAGAAAACAAAGCAAAACAAAAAAAAGCCCUCCAAUAUCUAAAGUGGGAUUUAGUGAAAGGGAGGUAGAUAAAGACUUUUUGUUCAAAAAUGAAGUUUCUAAUUUUAAAUGGGUGAGAAAACUACAGUUCCUUUAUUUUAUUUUAUUUUUUUCAGGCAAAUUCAAUAGGAUGGCAGUCAACAGAAAGCUGCAGUGGCAGAAAAAUCUCUGCACUCUCUGGUGAAGCAUCUUUCCUCACUGAGGACUGGGAUUACUCUUUGCAAAACCCCUGAUAGAAAACUUCAAAACUCUACAUGCAUCUUUCCUACCAAGGGAAAGGUCCCUGUAGGCCUUCUUACGUCUCAGACUCCCGUAGGAGAAGAUGCUCUGCUGGGAACUGGGAGUCCCCAUCGCUGCCUCUGCCUACCCUAUUCGCAUCUCAUAGUAAGUUGUGGUUUGUUUUUUUCCUUGGGGCAGGGAAUUGCCUUUCCCUAAUUGGGGCACUGCUGAAUUCUCUGCUCUGAGACUCUGCUUUCACUUUUUGUAAUACAGUGGUACCUCAGGUUAAGUACUUAAUUCGUUCCAGAGGUCCGUACUUAACCUGAAACUGUUCUUAACCUGAAGCACCACUUUAGCUAAUGGGGCCUCCUGCUGCUGCUGCGCCGCCGGAGCACGAUUUCUGUUCUCAUCCUGAAGCAAAGUUCUUAACCUGAAGCACUAUUUCUGGGUUAGCGGAGUCUGUAACAUGAAGCGUAUGUAACCUGAAGCGUAUGUAACCUGAGGUACCACUGUACAGUCAUACCUUGGGUUACAGACGCUUCAGGUUGCGUUUUUUCAGGUUAUGGACUGCUGAAACCUGGAGGUACUGGAACGGGUUACUUCCAGAUUUCAGCAGUCACGCAUGCACAGAAACACUGAAUUGCUCUUUGUGCAUGCACAGAAGCGCUGAAUUGCAAUCCGCGUGUGCACAGAGGUGCAGAUGCAGGUUGUGAAUGCUGCGGGUUGUGAAUGUGCAUCCCACACGGAUCACAUUUGCAACCUGAGUGUCCACUGUAUCGUACAGGUGGUAUCCUGCUUGCAACAAAAUGCAGCCAUGUGGAAUGCUCCUGUUCACUUCUCCAAGGCUACGUUAUUUCAUUUCCCCUUCCAGUUGGUCAGCAUUCCACGGCCACUGAGCAUGCUCAGUCCUCAUUAAAGAAAAAGAAAAAUCUGCAAGACUGCUAAUCUCUAACUUGUGCAUGGGUGGUGCCCUUUUGACUGUAUAAGCAAUAGCACUCCCGUCUGAACACUGAAAACAAAGGGAAUAAAAUCAUUCGUGCUUGUAGCGAAAACUAAGAAGGAGAGUCUGCUAAUGAAUGAGUGAACCAAAAGCUGUCUAUAAGGAGUUCCCAGCAGCCAAGGUCUUUUCAACGCCUUUCUGCCUGUUUGCCAAAGUCCUUUCCUCCUGCUUCUAUGCAUGCACUUUUUCCAUCCCAUGUUUGAUUUUCCUUGCUCCACUAGAUUCCUUGUCAAAAUUCCAAAAGCCUGCAAAAUCUGAAAUGCUUCGAAGAACAAGCAGUCCUUGUGAAAGUUUGCUUCAAUCAAGAUAAUCUGUACAGUUGCAACUUUUGCAACAUCGUAAGUUACCUCAUCACAGGGAUGGUGUUAAGUACAUGAAGAGAAGGUGCCUGAGCUUCGCUUUCAUUCCUCAAAAUCGGAUUAUGGCCUUAUCUGUGUAGAGUUCAGAACUAGUUUUUCCUGGCACAUGUUAACAUGGCGGUUGCAAUCAGCUAGAUUUGCAAUCGCUCCUGCAAUCGUUCUGGCACUAAUCUUACUCUUAACUUCCAUAGUCUUUUAAAAACUAAUUUUCUAGUAAGGAGCAACCAUUGAGAAAAAUAUGAAAAAACCACUAUGUUUAUAUUAUAUUUCUAACUGAUAAAAUAUAACUGUUACAUAAAGAGGGGUGGAAUGAUGUGGUCCUGUGCAUGCCUUCUCAGAAGUAAACCCCAUUGGAUUUAAUGGAACUUACUCCCAGGUAAGUGGGAAUUGGAUUGCACCCUAAGGCCCUGUGGGUGCAAUUCCAUACUCACUUUCCAGUGAAUGAACCUUACUGAAAUCAAUGGGACUUGUGGAUGCACUGCAUUGUAAAUCAAAAAAAGAUCAUAUGUCCUUCUAUAUACAACCCAAUAACAAAAGCAAAGAAAAAUCCAUGAAAACUUUCCUGCCGUUUCAGAUUAAAGAAGAAAAAGUACACUCAAGCAAUGUAACAAAUAUGGAUCAAAGUGAUGCCUACGUGGCC